UAGUAUGAAAUAGAAUAUGAGAUUUCUUGAUAGUAAUAUGUAUUUAUAUAAAUGGAAUAGAAAAAUGCCUGAGACCUGAUUUAGCUUCCUGGCUCACAGACAAUAACAUUCCAGGGUAUAUCCAUGGUUACACCUCUUACUCAACAUUAAAUUUUAUUGCUUUGUCACAUAUUGUGUAUAAAUUAAAAGUGUUCAGAUAAUUGUAACUCUAAAGCUAAAAAUAUCAGACUUUGUUGCAAAUCAAUUAAAAAUAGUUAUCUACUUGCAUCAUUUUAGUCCCUGUGGACUCUGCCUCCUAAGACUGUAGCUGGUGGGUGACAAAGAAGAUAUGUAUUGCAUUAUAAAUUAUAACAUAAGCUUUAUGGUUUCAAAUGAGCUUUUUAUGGGUUUAAAUUGUGAGAAUUAAUUUAUUAAGUUUGGAUGUCUUUGAGUAAACCAAUGCAAUUAAAAAUUUCUUACCCUGAAGGGCUAAAAACAGCCUUUAGAUGACGGUGAUCCUACCGAGUGUGUCUUUAGCCUCAUUGUUUUUUUGUAAAAAAUUCCUAAAACAUUGUAGUUCAACAGGGAAUUUAAAAAAUUAACGUGCUUUUUUUCAUACCUGCUUGAAUUUGGAUCUUUUUUUCCCCCCUUUCAGCCAGAGCUAUCUAUUAUCUCAGGAAGAUAAGUAUCGUAAUCAUUAAGAAGGCAAAAAUAGUCAAUUUCAACUUUAAACUGACAAAACAGGAUCUUAUAGCCCAGACAGGCAAUAGUUCUGAAAGCCUUGCUGUGUUAGGAGAAAAAAACUUUUGUAAAUUGUAAAAGCUUUUCUUUACAUAGCAAGAGUAAAAGUUGGUCAUCUGAAGUGAGAUUUCAAGCCAUUACUAGCAAGAACUCAAGAUAUGCCCAGGUUGAACAUAAAGUGUCUUUUCAAAAAAAGAAAUAAAAAUAAUUAAAUGUUUUUAAGUUAAAAUUUUUAUUUUGGUGAGAACAUUCAAGUUCUGCUCUUAGCCAGUUUUCAUGAGGAGUUUCUCUCUUGGUGAAGUGUGAAAAAGGCAGGGACUCAGAGGAAAUGAGAAGAGCAUGGACUUUCUUCCUGGCCCCUCAGGAAAGCAGCCCUCCCAGCCCUUCCUCCCCUUCUCCAGCCUUUCUCUUCCAGGCCUGGCCUUGGAUGUGAGCUCUGAGAAGAAGGAAAUCCAGGGGGCACUUAGGAAGCUCAGGGAGGAGACUAGCUACUCCAGGAGCCCCCCUGGCCAGCAUCCCACUCAGACCUUCUGCAGAACAGAAAAUUUGCUUCAUGCAUAUGGUAUGUGGCUGCUGGCUCUUUCAGUGAUGGUACUAAGCUGAAUGCUUGACUUCUUGGCAAAGACGGAUACUGUGUCCUACUUCUCUACUACCUCUAUCAUCUCAAAUUUGGAAUUAGAAACUGAAAAAGCUUUGAAAUUUGACUCUACUUCAGUGAAAAAUAUAUUUUGUGUACCAUGAUGAGUUAAUUACAGUCUAAAUUCUUGAAUAGCAAGACAUAUUUUUUACAAGAAAGUAAUCCAUAUGUUACUGAGAACAAAUUUUAGAAGUAUGCAAUGGGAUUUAUAUGGCUUUAACUUAGAUGAUUAGCCUGAGAUGAUCCAAUUAUACCUGCCAAUAUCAGUUAGAAAUAAAAUACUAAUAUGUUUAGGGAUAAUGUUCCUGAAUGGGUGUACUGUCUGUCCAGAACAAAGCAGGAUUGUAUCCUCUUGCGUGCAAAGGAGUUCUUGUUUCCCCUGAUGCUCGAAAUUCAUGUCCUGGGAUAUUUAUAAGUGGGCCUGCACUGAGAUCUUCUAUACUUUCAGAAUGGGAAUUGUCAUCCGAGUUUCAGGCUUUCCUCAAUAUCCAUUCAGAUUUUAGUUUCAAUAUUUCAAAAUAAAUUACCUUAUAGGCAAGAGUAAUUCAUAUGUAUUACUUUUUCUUAGAUAGAAGUUAAGAACAUGAAUCAGAGAGACUUAUGUUUAGAAUCAAGGAAGAAUUUCUUGCUUCUUGACAGUCAUUGACCUAUAGCAAUGAUUCUUAAAUUGCAAUCCCUAGACCAACAGCUUCAUCUGAGAAUGUGUUAUGAGAACUUAUUAAAAACACAAUUUUUUGAGCCUACUAUAGAACUACUGAAAUAGAAACCGUAUUUUAACAAGCCCUCCAGGUGAUUCUGAUGCAUGCUAAAGAUUGAGAGCCACUAAUCAAUAGAACAUUGCUAAAGAAACAUCACUUUUUCUGAAACUCCUUAAAAAUAAGAAAGACAGCUAUAUAUGUAGAAUGCUUUGGUAAAAAUCUUUUCAAGAGGUAGUUGGACCAACGCUAUUUAGUAUUAUUUCAUUUACAUGUAUCUAAAAUGUAUAAUUAUAAAUUUCUCAAAAUGGUUCAUCUAGUGGUAGUUUCAGUUUGGUCACUUUUGAAUGUAAACAUAUGUGAUGUGCAAAGGAUAAACAACUUAAAUAUAUAAAAGCAUUCAGACAAGUGCUUUGAACUGUGCCUGGCACUUAGCUGAAUACUAUAAAAAGUGAUAACUCUUUUUUUUUCUUAAAGAUUUUAUUUAUUUAUUUGAGAGAGAGAAUGAGAGAGAGAGAACACAUGAGAAGGGAUAGGGUCAGAGGACGAAGCAGACUCCCUACCGAGCAGGGAGCCCAAUGCGGGACUCUAUCCAGGGACUCCAGGAUCAUGACCUGAGCCGAAGGCAGUCGCUUAACCAACUGAGCCACCCAGGCGCCCAAAAGUGAUAAUUCUUAAUGAGCAUCUAUUAUGUGUAGGCAACAUGUUAGCUAGUUUUAUACACAUUAUUUUGUGUAAAUAUCUAAUCUUUAUAACAAAUGUAAACUAUCUUCCCAAAUGUCACCAGUUAGCUGGUGAUGAGUCAGCCAUAAGUCUGUUCUUCAACUACAGCCUUACUUCUCUGAGUCAAUUUACUUAAGUGCCACUUUAGCCAGGAGAUUCAUUAAUGACUAUAGUAAGAUCUUAUUUUGAAAUACUAGUCUCUUAGUAAUAAUCAGUGUGCAGAUAAUACUUGGUAUUAUUAUUAUUGAUUAAUUGGUAUUGGUAUUAUUAUUAUUGAUUAAUACAGUGGUACACUUUGGAGUAAAGCCGUUGAAGAAGUGACCCAUCAUUAGCAGCAUUUGUACUCAUGAUGUGCUUAAGUAUCUUUUCCAUUACUUAUAUUUGAUAUUAAAUCUUCUUUAUAAUGUGAGCACUUUAGUGCUAUUACUUCUCCCAUGACUCUAUUAUAUAUCACUACUUAAAGAACAGUCCUCAUAACUAGACUAAGAGAGGGGCAUGCAACGAGAACAGCAUUUAAGUCAGUAAUUUGCUAGAUCAACAUUUUAUUAUAUUAUUACAAAAAUUGUAUUUCCUCUGAAAAGUUAGAAUCUGUGCCACAUUAUG